UACGUAGGUGGCAAGCGUUGUCCGGAUUUACUGGGCGUAAAGAGCGCGCAGGCGGUCGUUCAAGUCGCGUGUGAAAGCCCCCGGCUCAACUGGGGAGGGUCACGCGAUACUGAUCGACUCGAAGGCAGGAGAGGGUAGUGGAAUUCCCGGUGUAGUGGUGAAAUGCGUAGAUAUCGGGAGGAACACCAGAGGCGAAGGCGGCGACCUGGACAGUAACUGACACUCAACUACGAAAGCGUGGGGAGCAAACAGG
rnacentral:rRNA from 1 species